GAUGAACGCUGGCGACGUGCCUAAUACAUGCAAGUAGAACGCUGAAGGAAGGAGCUUGCUCUUUCCGGAUGAGUUGCGAACGGGUGAGUAACGCGUAGGUAACCUGCCUGGUAGCGGGGGAUAACUAUUGGAAACGAUAGCUAAUACCGCAUAACAGUAGAUGUUGCAUGAUAUCUACUUAAAAGGUGCAAUUGCACCACUACCAGAUGGACCUGCGUUGUAUUAGCUAGUUGGUGAGGUAACGGCUCACCAAGGCGACGAUACAUAGCCGACCUGAGAGGGUGAUCGGGCACACUGGGACUGAGACACGGCCCAGACUCCUACGGGAGGCAGCAGUAGGGAAUCUUCGGCAAUGGACGGAAGUCUGACCGAGCAACGCCGCGGGAGUGAAGAAGGGUUUCGGAUCGGAAAGCUCUGUUGUAAGAGAAGAACGAGUGUGAGAGUGGAAAGUUCACACUGUGACGGUAUCUUACCAGAAAGGGACGGCUAACUACGUG
rnacentral:rRNA from 1 species